rnacentral:rRNA from 1 species
GACGAACGCUGGCGGCGUGCUUAACACAUGCAAGUCGAACGGAAAGGCCCGGCUUUUGUGGGGUGCUCGAGUGGCGAACGGGUGAGUAACACGUGAGUAACCUGCCCUUGACUUUGGGAUAACUUCAGGAAACUGGGGCUAAUACCGGAUAGGAGCUCCUGCUGCAUGGGGGGGGGUGGAAAGUUUCGGCGGUUGGGGAUGGACUCGCGGCUUAUCAGCUUGUUGGUGGGGUAGUGGCUUACCAAGGCUUUGACGGGUAGCCGGCCUGAGAGGGUGACCGGCCACAUUGGGACUGAGAUACGGCCCAGACUCCUACGGGAGGCAGCAGUGGGGAAUAUUGCACAAUGGGCGGAAGCCUGAUGCAGCAACGCCGCGUGCGGGAUGACGGCCUUCGGGUUGUAAACCGCUUUCGCCUGUGACGAAGCGUGAGUGACGGUAAUGGGUAAAGAAGCACCGGCUAACUACGUG